rnacentral:RNase_P_RNA from 1 species
GGGUCGGACAGCCGCGGACGCAGGCCGAAAGGCCGCGGAUGAGGAAAGUCCGGGCUCCACAGGGCAGGGAUAACGGGUAACGCCCGCCGAGGGUGACCUCAGGACAAGUGCAACAGAGAGAUUCUGCCGGCUUUUGCCGGUGAUGGUGAAAAGGUGGGGUAAGAGCCCACCCGGCCCAUGGCAACAUGGGUUUUACGCUGUAAACUCUAUCCCGGAGCAACGCCGUGGAGGAACAUGCGGUUUGCCCGACCGUUCCGAGGAGGCGGCUUGAUCCUGCCAGCAAUGGCAGGGCUAGAUAGAUGGCUGUCAAGACAGAACCCGGCUUACAGGCCCG